GCCGAAGUGGCGGAACUGGAAGACGCGCGGGACUCAAAAUCCCGUGGGGCUUUAAACCCCGUGUGGGUUCGACUCCCACCUUCGGCA
rnacentral:tRNA from 1 species